AAGUCGUAACAAGGUUUCCGUAGGUGAACCUGCGGAAGGAUCAUUAAUGAAAUGAUAAUUUUUUGGGGUUUUCCCUAAAAAAUAAUUCACCAUUUGUGCAUUGUUAUUAGAUAUACUUUGGUUAGAGCUUUGAUUUCAUUUAUUGGAAUCAACUUCUUGCUGACUCUAUCCUUUUUAAAGGACAGUUGGCUAUGAAGCGGCCUACCAAGGUUUUUUUAUCAAACUCUUGUAUUUUGUCUGACCUAAACUAUUAUAAUUAAAUCAUAACUUUCAACAACGGAUCUCUUGGCUCUC
rnacentral:misc_RNA from 1 species